CCUACGGGCGGCAGCAGUGAGGAAUCUUGGGCAAUGGGCGCGAGCCUGAACCAGCCAAGUAGCGUGAAGGAUGACUGCCCUACGGGUUGUAAACUUCUUUUAUAAAGGAAUAAAGUGAGGCACGUGUGCCUUUUUGUAUGUACUUUAUGAAUAAGGAUCGGCUAACUCCGUGCGAGCAGCCGCGGUAAUACGGAGGAUCCGAGCGUUAUCCGGAUUUAUUGGGUGUAAAGGGAGCGUAGAUGGGUUGGUAAGUCAGUUGUGAAAGUUUGCGGCUCAACCGUAAAAUUGCAAUUGAUACUGGCAGUCUUGAGUACAGUUGAGGUAGGCGGAAUUCGUGGUGUAGCGGUGAAAGGCUUAGAUAUUACGAAGAACUCCGAUUGCGAAGGCAGCUUACUAAACUGCCACUGACAUUGAUGCUCGAAAGUGUGGGUAUCAAACAGGAUUAGAUACCCUGGUAGUC
rnacentral:rRNA from 1 species